rnacentral:rRNA from 1 species
AACGGCCGUACCAUGCUGAAUAUACCGGUUCUCGUUAGAUCACCGAAGUUAAGCAUCAUUGGGCGCGGUCAGUACUUGGGUGGGUGACCACCUGGGAACAUCGCGUGCCGUU